UGCAUCAAAUUCAAUGUAGUAUUAUGGAAACAAUGGCGAAUUUGAUGACGAAGUUCAGAAUGGCUUCCAAUUAACCCUUCAGUGAAGGUGCUUUUCCCGUACCCUUUCAAAGUGCUUCGACCACAACAAAUGAACACUCCCAAAAUCCAUUCGGAAACAUGAAUCAUAUGGUAUCAAAGCUAGCAGAUCCAACAUCUCAAGGCUUGCACGGAACUGGAAUUAUGAGCAGAGGUUCGGCUUAUGAAAAAGAGUCACCAAAAUCUCCCGCUGAGACAUCUUUUGGAACUCGAACAGAAAAGGUUCUUAAUAGUUUUUUGCAAAAUCCGAUUUUGAAGGAAGAUGGAACCAGGCUAAAUGAACUAGCCGGCCGGUUACAAACAGAAAACAACAUGCU